AGUGAACGCUGGCGGUAGGCCUAACACAUGCAAGUCGAACGGCAGCACAGUAAGAGCUUGCUCUUACGGGUGGCGAGUGGCGGACGGGUGAGGAAUACAUCGGAAUCUACUUUUUCGUGGGGGAUAACGUAGGGAAACUUACGCUAAUACCGCAUACGACCUACGGGUGAAAGCAGGGGAUCUUCGGACCUUGCGCGAUUGAAUGAGCCGAUGUCGGAUUAGCUAGUUGGCGGGGUAAAGGCCACCAAGGCGACGAUCCGUAGCUGGUCUGAGAGGAUGAUCAGCCACACUGGAACUGAGACACGGUCCAGACUCCUACGGGAGGCAGCAGUGGGGAAUAUUGGACAAUGGGCGCAAGCCUGAUCCAGCCAUACCGCGUGGGUGAAGAAGGCCUUCGGGUUGUAAAGCCCUUUUGUUGGGAAAGAAAAGCAGCAGGUUAAUACCCCGCUGUUCUGACGGUACCCAAAGAAUAAGCACCGGCUAACUUCGU
rnacentral:rRNA from 1 species